rnacentral:lncRNA from 1 species
UACGGGGGUGCUGACGGUGCUACCCCCCAUAUAACCCCAUAUAACCCCAUAUAACCCCAUAUAACCCCAUAUAACCCCAUAUAACCCCAUAUACCUGUGUGUCUGCAGCCAGGUAUCAUCCACAGGCGGUGGUACGGGGGUGCUGACGGUGCUACCCCCCAUAUAACCCCAUAUAACCCCAUAUAUCCCAUAUAUAACCCCAUUUAUCCCAUAUAACCCCAUAUAACCCCAUAUAACCCCAUAU